CGCAGGCAGGGGCGGCCGCUGCCGCUCACUGCCUGCGCCUGGCCCGUCGCGACCUCGCCGCCGUCGCCGCCACCCUGGGCACCGUCACCGCCUGUCGCCUGCUGCCCCCCGGGGGGGCGGGGGGGGCCGCGGGGGGGGGGGGCGGGGGGAUGUCGUGACAGGGGGGUGUGGUGGUGGUGGGAUAAUGGCACGGGGAUGUCACGACAUGGGGAAAAUUACGCUGGGAUGUCGUGACAGUGGGAUAAUGGCAUGGGGAUGUCACGACAUGGGGACAUCGUGACACUGGGAUGUCAUGACAGUGGGACAGUGGCGCGGGGAUGUCACAACAUGAGGACAUCGUGACACCAGGACAGUGGCACUGGGAUGUCACGACAUGAGGAUAUCAUGACACUGGGAUGUCGUGACAGUGGGACAGUGGCACUGGGAUGGCCCAGCAUGGGGAUAUCGUGACACCAGGAUGUCGUGACACGGGGCCGUCAGGACAUUGUCACCGCAGGCACCGUCCCCUUGCCGCCCACCCCCACCACGCGGGGACAUCCCCCGGCCCCAAAUCCCGUGGUUUUUGCCCCAUUUUGGGGCUCUGUGAGGUGGCGCUGAAUAAAGCCCCC
rnacentral:lncRNA from 1 species